ensembl:lncRNA
CGCCCCCCUUCGGUUCGGGGCCGGUUCUUAAAGGGGCGACGGCGAAAGAAGAAGCUCCAUCCACCGCCUCCACCACUCCGGAUUCCACGGAGGGUGGCCCCGAGGAGCCGGACUUCCCCGAGCUGCAGGCAGCACAGCCCCCCCCCCGAGGAAGAGGAGGAGGAGGAUGAAGGCGUGGGGGGGGCACUAUUGGAGGGGGGGGGGCGGUAUGGACCCCCCCCCAGGGAACUCACCUUUUCCUACAUCGCCUUCGCUGGAGGGGGGGGGUCCCGGCGUGGUCGCCCCCCACCCCAUCCUUCCCACCGUCUGAGCUCUGGAUUGGUGCCCCCCCCCCAUUGCCGGGGGCAGGACCCCCGCGGUGCUGCUCGUGGACCCCCCCACCCCCCCACGGGGAAGCGUGGACC